GAGGGUAUAGCUCAGUGGUAGAGUGUGUGCUUAGCAUGCACAAGGUCCUGGGUUUAAUCCUAAGUACCUCUA
rnacentral:tRNA from 1 species